rnacentral:rRNA from 1 species
CACGUGGGUAACCUGCCCAUCAGAAGGGGAUAACACUUGGAAACAGGUGCUAAUACCGUAUAACACUAUUUUCCGCAUGGAAGAAAGUUGAAAGGCGCUUUUGCGUCACUGAUGGAUGGACCCGCGGUGCAUUAGCUAGUUGGUGAGGUAACGGCUCACCAAGGCCACGAUGCAUAGCCGACCUGAGAGGGUGAUCGGCCACACUGGGACUGAGACACGGCCCAGACUCCUACGGGAGGCAGCAGUAGGGAAUCUUCGGCAAUGGACGAAAGUCUGACCGAGCAACGCCGCGUGAGUGAAGAAGGUUUUCGGAUCGUAAAACUCUGUUGUUAGAGAAGAACAAGGAUGAGAGUAGAACGUUCAUCCCUUGACGGUAUCUAACCAGAAAGCCACGGCUAACUACGUGCCAGCAGCCGCGGUAAUACGUAGGUGGCAAGCGUUGUCCGGAUUUAUUGGGCGUAAAGCGAGCGCAGGCGGUUUCUUAAGUCUGAUGUGAAAGCCCCCGGCUCAACCGGGGAGGGUCAUUGGAAACUGGGAGACUUGAGUGCAGAAGAGGAGAGUGGAAUUCCAUGUGUAGCGGUGAAAUGCGUAGAUAUAUGGAGGAACACCAGUGGCGAAGGCGGCUCUCUGGUCUGUAACUGACGCUGAGGCUCGAAAGCGUGGGGAGCGAACAGGAUUAGAUACCCUGGUAGUCCACGCCGUAAACGAUGAGUGCUAAGUGUUGGAGGGUUUCCGCCCUUCAGUGCUGCAGCAAACGCAUUAAGCACUCCGCCUGGGGAGUACGACCGCAAGGUUGAAACUCAAAGGAAUUGACGGGGGCCCGCACAAGCGGUGGAGCAUGUGGUUUAAUUCGAAGCAACGCGAAGAACCUUACCAGGUCUUGACAUCCUUUGACCACUCUAGAGAUAGAGCUUCCCCUUCGGGGGCAAAGUGACAGGUGGUGCAUGGUUGUCGUCAGCUCGUGUCGUGAGAUGUUGGGUUAAGUCCCGCAACGAGCGCAACCCUUAUUGUUAGUUGCCAUCAUUUAGUUGGGCACUCUAGCGAGACUGCCGGUGACAAACCGGAGGAAGGUGGGGAUGACGUCAAAUCAUCAUGCCCCUUAUGACCUGGGCUACACACGUGCUACAAUGGGAAGUACAACGAGUUGCGAAGUCGCGAGGCUAAGCUAAUCUCUUAAAGCUUCUCUCAGUUCGGAUUGUAGGCUGCAACUCGCCUACAUGAAGCCGGAAUCGCUAGUAAUCGCGGAUCAGCACGCCGCGGUGAAUACGUUCCCGGG